rnacentral:rRNA from 1 species
UACAGAGGGUGCGAACGUUGCUCGGAAUUACUGGGCGUAAAGCGCGUGUAGGCGGGUCGGCAAGUCAGGCGUGAAAACCCCAGGCUCAACCUGGGAACUGCGCUUGAAACUGCCGGUCUUGAGUAUCGGAGAGGGUGGCGGAAUUCCUGGUGUAGAGGUGAAAUUCGUAGAUAUCAGGAGGAACACCGGUGGCGAAGGCGGCCACCUGGACGAUUACUGACGCUGAGACGCGAAAGCGUGGGGAGCAAACAGG